rfam:Niastella koreensis GR20-10, complete genome.
ACAGGGUUGGCCGAAAACCUGAAACAGAGUAGGCA